GACGAACGCUGGCGGCGUGCUUGACACAUGCAAGUCGAACGGAAAGGCCCUGCGUUUGUGGGGUGCUCGAGUGGCGAACGGGUGAGUAACACGUGAGUAACCUGCCCUUAACUUUGGGAUAACUUCAGGAAACUGGGGCUAAUACCGGAUAGAAGCUCCUGCUGCAUGGGGGGGGUUGGAAAGUUUCGGCGGUUGGGGAUGGACUCGCGGCUUAUCAGCUUGUUGUUGGGGUAGUGGCUUACCAAGGCUUUGACGGGUAGCCGGCCUGAGAGGGUGACCGGCCACACUGGGACUGAGAUACGGCCCAGACUCCUACGGGAGGCAGCAGUGGGGAAUAUUGCACAAUGGGCGGCAGCCUGAUGCAGCAACGCCGCGUGCGGGAUGACGGCCUUCGGGUUGUAAACCGAUUUCGCCUGUGACGAAGCGUGAGUGACGGUAAUGGGUAAAGAAGCACCGGCUAACUACGUG
rnacentral:rRNA from 1 species